UACGUAGGGUGCAAGCGUUGUCCGGAAUUAUUGGGCGUAAAGAGCUCGUAGGCGGUUUGUCGCGUCGUCCGUGAAAACUUGGGGCUCAACCCCAAGCUUGCGGGCGAUACGGGCAGACUUGAGUACUGCAGGGGAGACUGGAAUUCCUGGUGUAGCGGCGAAAUGCGCAGAUAUCAGGAGGAACACCGGUGGCGAAGGCGGGUCUCUGGGCAGUAACUGACGCUGAGGAGCGAAAGCGUGGGUAGCGAACAGG
rnacentral:rRNA from 1 species